rnacentral:pre_miRNA from 1 species
AGUGGAAUUGCUGGAUCAUAUGGUUACUCUGUAUUUAACUUUUUGAGGAACUGUUAGACUGUUUUCCAAAGUGGCUGUACCAUUUUACAUUCCCACCAACAGU